GUUUGCCACGUACUAUUAUAAUGCGAUUUUGUGGUAAACAACAUUACAUUUAACAAAUCUUCAAAAUCCAAAUUCAAAUCCAAAUCCAAAUGGGCAUGGUUAAAGAGAAACCAUCAUAGAACAAGUGUCAACUAGAAAAGGGAUUUGAAUUUAGCGUAUUCAGCCAUUAAGCAAGUCAAUAAACAAAUAUAAUCAUGGACAAUUAUUACAGUAUUGGAAAUUAUGAAAAUGAU
rnacentral:misc_RNA from 1 species